CUAAUUUUCUAAUAGACGGAACCUUCGAAAUGAAAGUCAAAGAUACAGUAUCAUCUGAUUUUGGAACAGAAAACGGAUUACUCCAAAGAUCUUCGAUAAGCAUAACACUGUUCUUAAUAGCUACCCAUGGUGUUGGUGAACCCAUCAAACCUCCAGUCAAAAUUAUACUAUACGCUCAUGACUUCACAUCAAAACAACAAUUUCUCUCACAUAAGAUUUAAUAAAUAACGUCAUUUAAUGGUCCACAGAGACAGGAUUCAAGUUUUCUCCCGAAAAAGCUUAACCAAUUUUAUUUAGCCGCAAGAAUAAAAUUAUAGGACCAUAGAUAAAAAAAGAGCUGGUACUAGAGUUGGGAGCAGCCACUGUUGUAGGAGAGAAGUUGAGAAGGUAGGAUACAUAAGGUUAUUUCAUUUAUAUCUAUAUGCAACGAUUAACCAUUGCUUGACGAAAGAC